GAAGGCGGAACCCGCCCCAGACGCCGGCUUCGCAGACGCUUCUCCUCUUUGCCGCUUUCCCUCAACUGCGCAGGGUGGGAGCUGAGGCCCGGUUCCACCGGCUUGAGCGUCGCGCCUUCACCUGGCCCCAGGUGGUGUCGUCAUUGCUGUCACUGAAGGCGGAGGAGGAGAGCUCCUCGCGGGGCGUGCAGACCGGGCACCGCUGCCGCAUAUCGUCCCAGCACGACAGGCAGUACACGGCCUCGCAGUCCAGCGUCGGGCACACGUAGGACUCGGGCGUCUCGGGUGCCAGGCACACCACGCAGCGCCGGCGCAGCCAGGGGCGCAGGAGCGGGCAGCGGCGGUGCAGGAUGUCCACCAAGUGGUGGCGCUGUUGGGAGGUAGGGGUUAGAGCCAAUUUGGGAGCGAGGGGCGAAAGAAGGGUUUGAGAAGGGAACUGGACAGCGCUUCUUGUCUGAAGUCAGGAGACGUGACAGUGCCCACAUGGGCGAGGCUGGGUUGGGCAAAGAAGACCCCGGAGGGCCAGUGUGCUAGGGAAAUGAGUUCUGGAGAGCCUCCCUGCCUCACUCCGUGAUGGAGAGUUGGAGGAUGCAGCCUCCAGGUCUCUCCCAGUGGAUAUCAGCAACAACUAUCUUUGGCGGUUCUCACGUGAGGCUGAGAAAUGAGUAGGCCAGAAAGAGUGUCACUAUUGUUACCCCCACUUUACAGAAAGAAAGAUAAAUCUCAGAAAGGUGAAGUGACUUUCCCAAAGGCACAACAAAUAGUAAACAAUCAAACCUGGCUGGACCCACAUGUGCUGAUUCCAAAUCACAAGCCCAGUCCAUUAUUCUCUCCCCUCCCCCAUACACUGUCUCCACACAAUUGCCAGGAAUAAUUCUUCACAGGCCACUUUAUUAGGUCAGUCUUUGUUCAAGAAGCUCCAGGGGCCCCACUGCCUGCCUGCCAGGCAGAACUCCUGGCUUUGGCCUUUAGAGCCUUCCAUAAUCUGGCCCCUCUCUAGCCUCUGCUCCACUUUACCCCUCCCUGAAUGCUGUCUCUUGUGUGCCGGUUUCUCCUUAGACUAGCCCUGGCACUUGGCAGUCCCUUUGGACUCUAAGUCUUUGCACGUUCUGUGCCCUAGGCUUGUAAUGACUGUUCCUCACAUUUCCAUCUGCACACUCAAAUCCAGCUUACUUGAGGACCCUGUCAAGGAAUCCCAGUAAGUUCUUUUUUCUUGUUCAUUUUUCCAUAACACAUUCUUCUGGCCACCUCUAUUGUGUGUCGUGGGGGCUGGGAGAGUCUAGGCACUGGAGGAAAAAGUUAAGCAAACACAGCCUCGCUAUUAUGAACUUUGCGUAAGAAUGGCUACCAUUCAUUGGUUAUAAUAUCAGGCCCUGUACUAAGAUACUGUAAGUCAAUCAAUAAUCAUAUAAGGCAGACAGUGUUAUUAUCAUCAUCUCUUUUUCAGAUGAGAAAACUGACCCUUGGAGAGGUGGUCACUUGCCCAGGGUCACAUGAUGACAGCAAACAUGUAUAUGGAACUUGCUGCAUGCCAGCACCAUGAGAGUAAAACUCAUUUAAUCCUUACAACUUGAUGGAGUAGUUAAUGCCAUUUUACAGAAGGGAAAAGCUAAGACAGAACAGUUAAGUAAUGUGCUCAAGAUCACAUAGUUGUCAUGGUAAUAAGGGGAGGAGCCAGGAUUCAAACCCAGGCCCUCUGGCACUAGAGCCCCACACCUCACCCGCGCUCUGUACUGAUCUCUAGUACAGCUCCCUAAUCUCCAGGAGCUGUAUAACUGGGGGCUUUAGCAUGUGUGGCAUCAGAACUCACCAAGUUCAAGUAGGCCUGGGACCACUGGUAGGUGCUGGGUAGACUGAAGGAUCUUCCCCCUCCCCCACAGUUCUUAGACCCAGCCGGGAGCUGGCAGGACCAUGCAGGCCUGGACUUACCGGACCCUUUUGCUGUUGUGCCCGUCUCACAAUUGCAGCCCUCCUCAAUUUGGUGAAGGCUGCUCUCUUUUUCAAUAGCUCAUUGUAGAAGAACAGGAUCCGCUUCUUCUCUCGCUGGGGGCAGGAAGGGGAGGAGGAAGGCAUCCCCCAAAGAUGGAGUUGGUGGGGAGCUGCUGCAGUGUAUGUAUGUAUGUGUGUGCACGCAGGUAUGUAGGGGUGGAGAGGUCUAGGGAAGGGCACACCUUGGGGAAGUAGAAGGCUGCGAUGACCCUCCGGAGCCGGUAAGCAAAAGCCUGUAACAGGCAGAGACACAGUAGCAGGCCAGUAGGUAGUGCAGCUCUCCAAUAGGCCCUGGCAUCCAGGCCCACAGGCUGGGGCAGGCAGGCUAGGGGAGAGGGCAGACCCAUCAGGGGUCUGGUCAGGGUUAGCCUACGGACAGGGAAGCCCUGGGUUGAACCCCGCUAUCCAAGUGGGAAGUGCAUGUUAGGCCUCUGAUCCCUGCUCUCCUCCUGCCUGCCCCUCACCCUGCAGAACUGCACUGUCAAUACCUUAGCCACUAGGCCCAUGAGGCUGUUUGCUCAAUGUGGGACAGAUCUCGAAAAUUUCCACCAGAGCAGAAAGUUCUGUUGGACAGUGCAGCUCUAAAGGGGUGGGAGCCUCUGGUCCCAAGACCCCAGUGUCCAGACUCCUUCAACUCAAGCCCGUCAUCCUCCACCUCUUCAAGCCUGCCCAAGUGCGCCAUGUUCUGAUUCCCCAACUCAAGCAUGCCGACCCCCAUCUCUCCACACCCAAGGCCCACUCUUUACCUAGGAAUCUUUUGACCUUUGCCCCCAGCCCUCAAUUUCUCUGAUCCAAACUUUCAACCUGACUCACGCAUGUUGUUUGAUUUCAUCACUGUCUCUGAAGAGGUGUUCAGGGCCCCAAUGGUUUUCCUAAGAAGCCGGGCAAGCAUGGAGUCUCCCCCAACCUUCACCUCCAGUUUAUGACUGCCUGAGGCCAGGAGAGAGGGUGAGGAGUCAGGAAAGAGCUGGAGUUAAGGGGGUGGGACAGGAUGGCGGCUGGAUGUUGGGGAAGAGUCAAGGCACAGACAUACUUCUCAGCAGCACAGGUCUUUCUAUGACUUCAGUGAACCCUAAUCCCUCCCUGUUGUAAAUGUAAAGGGUUAACUGAGGCCCCCAGUGAUAGCUGUCAGGUUGCAGGGCUGAGAUUUGACCUUGAGGAGGACAGAGAGGGGCUGAGUCACAGAAAAGGGAGCAGAAGAAGCAGAAGGAGGAGGUGCAAUUGGAAGAAUGGGGUGGGGUGGCUGCACAGGGGUUGGCCUUCUCCAGGGGUUGUCUCUUGGGCCUGGAACUUGGAGUGUGGUAUGGCCUCACUGUGGAAGGAGUACUCCAGGAAGGAGUGGUGGCGGAUGGUGUCGAAGAUGGAGUAGAGAGCCCAGUCCAGUCCGCACAGCAGCAGCAGCAGCAGCAGAAUGGGCAGCAUCUCUAGGAGCUCCCUUACCUACCCAAGGAGCGGAAGGGUAGACCUGGACCCGCUGCCUGCCUGGGCACAGAGCACUCGGCGCCUCUGCCCUCCACCCUCAGCUCCAGGCCUGUGGUUGCAUCCAGGAGCCUGCUGCCCAUGCCGUCCUCACCACAUUUCUCAUUUCUGAGGCCUGGAUAGUGGGCUUGCAGGGGAAGAUGACGGUUUUCUCCUCGGCUUUGCGGAGUGGCAGCAGAGUCCGUUUGCCCUGGAAAAGCAUGUCCACACAGCUAGGAACUCCAAGGGCCUGCUGCCCUUUCCCUUCUGCCCUCCUGGAGCAUGAAGCCCACACAGGGGACACAGCAAGGCAUCCUUGGGCAGGGCUGUGCCCGCUUACCAGCUGCUUCCUGCGCUCAUCUAUCUGACAGAAGUAGGUGCUGAUGUAGACAUUGUCAAAGCGAAUGUCCUGGUUAUAGCUGUCCAUGUAGGAGAAGGACCUGUGGAUGGGUGGACGGCGAUGUCUCUGUCUCUUACUCCAUGUUCACCUCACACACCCUCAACCAUGGGCUUCCUUGAGCCACAGUCAUUUAACUGAGCAACCAAUGUUCAUUGAGCGCUAUCUAUGUCCUUGGCCCUGUGCAAGGCAGUAGUGAUAACAAGGAGACUCUGCCCAUCUUCCAGCUGUGGACUGGGAGACACGCCCCUCCAUGCAGGAGAUGAGGUGGGGCUUCGAGGAAGGCAGAGCCGGCCUGUCCAGGACGGGGGAGUGUGUGCAUGUGAGGUAGAGACAGGCAAGCAGUCUGCAGGAUGAAGAGCACGCAGAGGCACAGAGAUGGGAAACUCCUCAAGGCUGCAGGAGUCACCUAACCCACCAUGACUCCCACAUUCACCUCUCAAGUCCCUGCCUCUUGGGGUUACCUGCAACACAUUUCUUGGAGGUUACCUCAAGCAACGCUCACUGAAAACCACCAUCUCCCUUCCACCAGCACACCUUUACCCCACCCUGGCUACCCUUGAGCAUGGUAGUGGUGUGUGCAUGUGUAUGUAGCUAUCCUCGGUUAUCUCCCAAAGUCCCACGUUUCCUAAGGAAGAAAUGUUAAUUGUUGGAAAUGUGUUUAAAACUGUAAAAGUACAUUAAAUAAACUCUGUAAAGUGUGAAA